AACUCACUUGGAGUUGUUCCCA
rnacentral:snRNA from 1 species